rnacentral:rRNA from 1 species
AUGACUCUCGGCAAUAGAUAUCUCAUCUCUCGCAUCGAUGAAGAACGUAGGAAAAUGUGAUACUUGGUGUGAAUUGCAGGAUCCCAUGAACCAUAGAGUAUUUGAACGCAAGUUGCGCCCGAAGCUAUUAGGUCGAGGGCAUGUCUUCCUGGGCAUCACACAUCGCGUCGCCCCCUCGCAUCAUGCCUCAAUCAUGGGGUGCACUAUUGUUGUGGGGCGGAUACUGGCCUCUCGUGCACCUCGAGCUCGCAGCUGGCCUAAAUGCGAGUCCACGUCGACGGACGUCGCGGAAAGUGGUAGUUGUAUCUCAACUCUCAUUGUUGUCGCGACUAUAGCCCAUCGCGUGUCUAGACUCCAAGACUCUUUCACGCUUCGGCACUCCGACCGCGACCCCAGGUCACACGGGAUUACCCAAAAUAGCCUAGCAUUAGAAUCAGGCGGCUCUGUCACCCGAAUUAUAGUUUGGAGAAGCGUCCUCAGCGGUGGAGCAGGCCCAACUCCCCUAGAAGUGGGCGCUAGAGAGGGUGAGAGCCCCAUUAUGCCCGGACCCUGUCGCACCACGGGGCACUAUCUACGUGUUGGGUUGUUUGGGAAUGUAGCCCAAAUCGAGCGGUGAAUUCCGUCUAAGGCUAAAUACGGGCGAUAGACCGAUAGCGAAUAAUUACCACAAGGGAAAGAUGAAAAGGACUUUGAAAAGAGAGUCAAAGAGUGAUUGAAAUUAUCGAGAGGGAAGUUGAUGGAGGCCGGUGAUGCACCCCGGUCGGAUGUGGAAUGGCGAUGAGUCGGUCCGAUGAUCGACUCAGGGCAUAGACCAACAUAGAUUGGGGGGACACCCAAGGCCCGGGCUCCCGAUACGCUCGUUAAAUGUCGUCUCCUCAAUUGUGGAAGGCAGCGCACACCUCCGACAUGCUUUGGCAUCUGCGCGCUACGGACGCUGGCCUGUGGGCUCCCUAUUUAACCCAUCUUGAAAACCAGGAUGUGGCGGUCAACGACAAUGUUAGGUAGUCAGGAGAAGUUGGAAGGAGCCUUGGGAAGAGUUAUCUUUUCUAUUUAAAAGACUGCCAACUUUUAAAUCAGCUAAGCCGGAGGAAGGGUCCAGCGGCUGGAAGAGCACCGCACUUCGUAUGGUGUCCGGUGCACUACCGGUGGACCUUGAAAAUCCAAAGGACCUAAUGCCAUCCAUGCCCGGUUGUACUCAUUACCACAUCAGGUCUCCAAGGGGAACAACCUCUGGUCGAUGGAAAAAUAUAUGCAAGGGAAGUCAGCAAAAUAGAUCCGUAACUUCUGGAAAAGGAUUGGCACUGAGGUCUGGGUAUGGGGGUCCCAGUCCCAAACCCAUUGGCUGUUGGUGGACUACUCGAGCUGCUUCUGUAGCGAGAGCGGGUCGCUGUGUGUCGGUUGGGUGACGGACUAGGAACGGUUCCUUCGGAGGCCUUCCCCGUGCGUCGAAUAGCCAACUCAGAACUGGAAAGGACAAGGGGAAUCCGACUGUUUAAUUAAAACAAAGCAUUACGAUAGUCCCAACGGAUGUUCACGCAUUGUGAUUUCUGCCCAUUGCUCUGAAUGUCAAAGUGAAGAAAUUUAACCAAGCAUGGAUAAACGGCGGGAGUAACUAUGACUUUCUUAUUGUAGUCAAAUACCUCGUCAUCUAAUUAGCGACGCGCAUGUAUGGAUUAAUGAGAUUCCCACUAUCCUUGUCUACUAUCAAACGAAACCACAACCAAGGGAACGGGCUUGGCAGAAUCAGCGGGGAAAGAAGACCCUCUUGAGCUUGACUCUACUCCGACUUUAUAAAAUAACUUGAGAGGUGUAGUAUAAGUGGGAGUCGAAAGGUAAAAGUGAAAUACAACUACUUUUAAUGUUAUUUACUUAUUUCGUGAAUCGGAAGUGGGGCACUGCCCCUCUUUUUAGACCCAAGGCUCGCUCUGCGGGCCAAUCCGAGAUGAAGACAUUGUCAGGUAGGGAGUUCGGCUUGGGUGGCAUAUCUGUUAAAAGAUAAUGCAGGUGUCCUAUGAUGAGCUUAACGAGAACAGAAAUAUCGUGUGGAAUAGAAUGGUAAAAGCUUGUUUGAUUCUGAUUUCUAGUACGAAUACAAACCAUAAAUGUGUGGACUAACGAUCCUUUAGACCUUUGGAAUUCGAAGCUAGAAAUGUCAGAAAAGUGUCACCACAGGGAUAACUAGCUUGUUGCAUCCAAGCGUUCAUAGCAACAUUGCUUUUUCAUCCUUCGAUGUCGGCUAUUCCUAUCAUUGUGAAGCAGAAUUCACCAAGUGUUGGACUGUUCACCCACCAAUAGGGAACGUGAGCUGGGUUUAGACCGUCUUGAGACAGGUUAGUUUUACCCCACUUAUGACAGUGUUGCAGUAGUAAUUCAACCUAGUACGAGAGGAAACAUUGAUUCACACAAUUUUUCAUCGCACUUGGUUGAAAAGCUAGUGGCGCAAAGCUACCGUGUGCUGGAUUAUGACUAAAUGCCUCUAAGUCAGAAUCCAGGCUAGAAGCGAUGCAUGCGCCCGCUGUCUACUUUCUGACCCGUAGUAGAGGCCUCGGCCCCCAAGGACAUGUAUCAUUUACUAAGACACCGCGGAGGAAGAGUCGCGGUGGCCGUCUUGAAGUGUAAUUUCCAUCAAGCGGUGGGUAGAAUCCUUUGCGGAUGACUUAAAUAUACGAUGGGUUGUUGUAAGUGAAGAGUGGCCUUGCUGCCACGAUCCACUGAGAUUCAUCUCUUUUUCACUCUAAUUCAUCCCUCCCCAUCCA